rnacentral:rRNA from 1 species
AGGUGGAGGCAAAACUCAAAAACUUAGUCUCAGUUCGGAUUGUAGGCUGAAACUCGCCUACAUGAAGCUGGAGUUGCUAGUAAUCGCGAAUCAGCAUGUCGCGGUGAAUACGUUCCCGGGCCUUGUACACACCGCCCGUCACACCAUGAGAGUCGGGAACACCCGAAGUCCGUAGCCUAACCGCAAGGGGGGCGCGGCCGAAGGUGGGUUCGAUAAUUGGGGUGAAGUCGUAACAAGGUACC